GAAUGCUGACAUAAGUAACGAUAAAGCGGGUGAAAAGCCCGCUCGCCGGAAGACCAAGGGUUCCUGUCCAACGUUAAUCGGGGCAGGGUGAGUCGACCCCUAAGGCGAGGCCGAAAGGCGUAGUCGAUGGGAAACAGGUUAAUAUUCCUGUACUUGGUGUUACUGCGAAGGGGGGACGGAGAAGGCUAUGUUGGCCGGGCGACGGUUGUCCCGGUUUAAGCGUGUAGGCUGAUUUUCCAGGCAAAUCCGGAAAAUCAAGGCUGAGGCGUGAUGACGAGGCACUACGGUGCUGAAGCAACAAAUGCCCUGCUUCCAGGAAAAGCCUCUAAGCAUCAGGUAACAUCAAAUCGUACCCCAAACCGACACAGGUGGUCAGGUAGAGAAUACCAAGGCGCUUGAGAGAACUCGGGUGAAGGAACUAGGCAAAAUGGUGCCGUAACUUCGGGAGAAGGCACGCUGAUAUGUAGGUGAAGCGACUUGCUCGUGGAGCUGAAAUCAGUCGAAGAUACCAGCUGGCUGCAACUGUUUAUUAAAAACACAGCACUGUGCAAACACGAAAGUGGACGUAUACGGUGUGACGCCUGCCCGGUGCCGGAAGGUUAAUUGAUGGGGUUAGCGGUAACGCGAAGCUCUUGAUCGAAGCCCCGGUAAACGGCGGCCGUAACUAUAACGGUCCUAAGGUAGCGAAAUUCCUUGUCGGGUAAGUUCCGACCUGCACGAAUGGCGUAAUGAUGGCCAGGCUGUCUCCACCCGAGACUCAGUGAAAUUGAACUCGCUGUGAAGAUGCAGUGUACCCGCGGCAAGACGGAAAGACCCCGUGAACCUUUACUAUAGCUUGACACUGAACAUUGAGCCUUGAUGUGUAGGAUAGGUGGGAGGCUUUGAAGUGUGGACGCCAGUCUGCAUGGAGCCGACCUUGAAAUACCACCCUUUAAUGUUUGAUGUUCUAACGUUGGCCCGUUAUCCGGGUUGCGGACAGUGUCUGGUGGGUAGUUUGACUGGGGCGGUCUCCUCCUAAAGAGUAACGGAGGAGCACGAAGGUUGGCUAAUCCUGGUCGGACAUCAGGAGGUUAGUGCAAUGGCAUAAGCCAGCUUGACUGCGAGCGUGACGGCGCGAGCAGGUGCGAAAGCAGGUCAUAGUGAUCCGGUGGUUCUGAAUGGAAGGGCCAUCGCUCAACGGAUAAAAGGUACUCCGGGGAUAACAGGCUGAUACCGCCCAAGAGUUCAUAUCGACGGCGGUGUUUGGCACCUCGAUGUCGGCUCAUCACAUCCUGGGGCUGAAGUAGGUCCCAAGGGUAUGGCUGUUCGCCAUUUAAAGUGGUACGCGAGCUGGGUUUAGAACGUCGUGAGACAGUUCGGUCCCUAUCUGCCGUGGGCGCUGGAGAACUGAGGGGGGCUGCUCCUAGUACGAGAGGACCGGAGUGGACGCAUCACUGGUGUUCGGGUUGUCAUGCCAAUGGCACUGCCCGGUAGCUAAAUGCGGAAGAGAUAAGUGCUGAAAGCAUCUAAGCACGAAACUUGCCCCGAGAUGAGUUCUCCCUGACUCCUUGAGAGUCCUGAAGGAACGUUGAAGACGACGACGUUGAUAGGCCGGGUGUGUAAGCGCAGCGAUGCGUUGAGCUAACCGGUACUAAUGAACCGUGAGGCUUAACCUUACAACGCCGAAG
rnacentral:rRNA from 1 species